CCUACGGGUGGCAGCAGUCGAGAAUCAUUCACAAUGGGGGAAACCCUGAUGGUGCGACGCCGCGUGGGGGAAUGAAGGUCUUCGGAUUGUAAACCCCUGUCAUGUGGGAGCAAAUUAAAAAGAUAGUACCACAAGAGGAAGAGACUGCUAACUCUGUGCCAGCAGCCGCGGUAAUACAGAGGUCUCAAGCGUUGUUCGGAAUCACUGGGCGUAAAGCGUGCGUAGGCUGUUUCGUAAGUCGUGUGUGAAAGGCGCGGGCUCAACCCGCGGACGGCACAUGAUACUGCGAGACUAGAGUAAGGGAGGGGGAACCGGAAUUCUCGGUGUAGCAGUGAAAUGCGUAGAUAUCGAGAGGAACACUCGUGGCGAAGGCGGGUUCCUGGACAUUAACUGACGCUGAGGCACGAAGGCCAGGGGAGCGAAAGGGAUUAGAUACCCCGGUAGUC
rnacentral:rRNA from 1 species